AGAGUUUGAUCCUGGCUUAGGAUGAACGCUAGCGGCAGGCUUAACACAUGCAAGUCGAGGGGCAGCGGGGUGUAGCAAUACAUUGCCGGCGACCGGCGCACGGGUGCGUAACGCGUAUGCAACCUACCCAUAACAGGGGCAUAACACUGAGAAAUUGGUACUAAUUCCCCAUAACAUUCGAAGAGGCAUCUCUUUGGGUUGAAAACUCCGGUGGUUAUGGAUGGGCAUGCGUUGUAUUAGCUAGUUGGUGGGGUAACGG
rnacentral:rRNA from 1 species